CAUGCAAGUCGAACGGAAAGGCCCUUUCGGGGGUACGCGAGUGGCGAACGGGUGAGUAACACGUGGGUGAUCUGCCCUGCACUUUGGGAUAAGCCUGGGAGACUGGGUCUAAUACCGAAUACACCCUGCUGGUCGCAUGGCCUGGUGGGGGAAAGCUUUUGCGGUGUGGGAUGGGCCCGCGGCCUAUCAGCUUGUUGGUGGGGUGAUGGCCUACCAAGGCGACGACGGGUAGCCGGCCUGAGAGGGUGUCCGGCCACACUGGGACUGAGAUACGGCCCAGACUCCUACGGGAGGCAGCAGUGGGGAAUAUUGCACAAUGGGCGCAAGCCUGAUGCAGCGACGCCGCGUGAGGGAUGACGGCCUUCGGGUUGUAAACCUCUUUCAAUAGGGACGAAGCGUGAGUGACGGUACCUAUAGAAGAAGCACCGGCCAACUACGUGCCAGCAGCCGCGGUAAUACGUAGGGUGCGAGCGUUGUCCGGAAUUACUGGGCGUAAAGAGCUCGUAGGUGGUUUGUCGCGUUGUUCGUGAAAACUCACA
rnacentral:rRNA from 1 species